rnacentral:tRNA from 1 species
GGCUGAGUGGUUUAAGGUGCUGGAUUAAGGCUCCAGUCUUUUUUGGGGGUCUGGGUUCAAAUCCCACCUCUGCCA